rnacentral:rRNA from 1 species
UACAUGUGGGGCAAGCGUUGUUCGGAAUUACUGGGCCUAAAGGGUGCGUAGGCGGCUUGUUAAGUCAGGGGUGAAAGUUUUCGGCCCAACCGGAAAAUUGCCUUUGAUACUGGCGAGCUCGAGUGCGUGAGGGGUAACCGGAACGAGUGGUGUAGCGGUGAAAUGCGUAGAUAUCACUCGGAAGGCCAAAGGCGAAGGCAGGUUACUGGUACGCAAAUGACGCUGAGGCACGAAAGCGUGGGGAGCGAACGGG